rnacentral:tRNA from 1 species
UGGCUCAGACGGUAAAGCAUCUGCCCGCAAUGCAGGAGACCUGGGUUCGAUCCCCGG